rnacentral:snoRNA from 1 species
CCGUUGGCUGGUGCAUUGCAGCCGUGAGCUGAGGCUAAACCCCAGCUCAGGAAACAGGGUGAAUGACUGCCGCAAGCGUGAGAACAACC